rnacentral:lncRNA from 1 species
CUUGUGUGGCCAGCCUGUGCUGCUGGCAUGGGCAAAGGCAGCUUGCUGAUCUCUGUCCCCACAGAUGUGCUGGCCAGCUGGGCUUCUGGUCAGGCUGGAUGAAAACAGCACAGAGUCUAGGUGCCAUCUCAGACUGCCUCAUACUGAGGGUAAUACAGGGAGGGGACAGGAGAGGAGAAACUGUGGGACUUGCUUUGGUUACAACUCUGAGCUAUACACUGGUGUUUACUUUUUUGUGCAGGCAUUGCGGAUGCUCCAGAGACCAGGACGGGGACCUCAGGGGACAUCAGAGGGUGUGUGGAGGGACCAGCAGCAGCUCUUUGGUCAGGUGCUGGAACUGGGAAAGCAAAACCUGUCUGCUCAUCUUCCUCUUGAAGGAGGAGCAGCCCCUUCAAAACCGAGCUGUGUGCCCGGGCUGAGCCCCCACCGCGCUCCUGCACGACCCCCGCUGCGGCCCCGGCCCGGCUGCCGCGGCUCCGGAUGGCCCCACCAUGGCUGGCGUCCAGCGAGGACUCUGUGA